UCCCCCUGCAAACGCCUUGGAGGGUCUCGGCUACGCGCUGGAGCCUACAAGGCCUGGACUCCGGGCAAGCCCGAGUGCUGGGCUCUCGGCCCCAGGAGGAGCGCCGAACCACGGAGGAAGGGGGCGCCACGGAGCUCAGUCCCGGCCAGGGCUCCUCCCAGCAAACAGUUAUGGAAGCUGGCCCCUCCAGGAGCCCCGCGCUAGAUGCCGAGGGGAAGACCAGGAGGAGCGGACUCCCGCCAGCAAGUGGCAAUCCGCCACAACUUCGCUUGCUCUUGAGAAGACCUCGUGACCCUCCAUCCUACGCAGCAGACGAGUCUCGGGCCUGCAGUCGGCACGCCCGUGCACCGAGCAGCCCCUGUGAGCCGCGCCGUUGACCUCCGCCUGUCCACCCAGUCACUGUGGUGACCAGAGAGACGAUGCUGCUCCCAUUCCCGCUUUACAGAUGAGGAAACUGAGAAUGAGAGUGACCCAGGCGCUUCUCUGAGCCGGCAGAGACUCAGCCACGGCUGCUCCCUCCCUCCUCCCCUCAAGUGUCGCUACUCCGGGCUCGGUCCGUAGAUCCCGAUGCAACAGGACAAGUGAGAAACCUCAGGCCUGGUGAGGGGGACAGAUGCCUGCGUUGAUGAUUCCAGACGCGAAAAAGAUGGUAACAGAGACGUGUGCAGGCAGAAGCGCUGGCUCAGCACGCAGCUUCCGGUUCAGCGUCUCGUCAUUGGAAAGGCCUGCUCUCCUCAAAUGCCAUGAUCAUGAUGAUGACGGUGACAGCAGUGACAGCUCCCCUGGACGGCACGCUCGCUCCAGGCAGACCCUGGACACACACCGAGUCAUAGAUUCAAGGCAACUAGGAAAUACAAACCACAAAGAGGAAUAAAACCGACCUGAGAUUCCGGGGCAGGACAGGGAAGAGUCCCCUGCCACGGCGGGAGCAGAGUUCCACAGACCUCAGUCUCCAGGCCAAAACUCCGAUGGAAGAGCAACGGUCGGUUCAGUCUGGAUCAGUCACUGGAGCUGGGUAGGAAGACUCCUGGGGAGCGGCGCUCUGCGCUGCGGGGACCACAGGCCGCUGCGGAGAAGGAAGUGUUGCCAGGAAGAGUGCAGGAGGGUGCCCGGGCCCCAGACAGCAGAGUCAGGUGCGGCCAGGCACUGAGGUGAGGUGUUUCCCAGGGUAAACCGACUCCCCUCAGCUCACACAGCGGGAGUGCGGAGGGGUUUUCCCAAGCUCCUAGCAAAGACAAAAUAAAACAAACAAUAGCAACCAACCUUCCCUGCAGAGUCUCCAGGGAUAGUAAUCAUAUUAGCAACUGCUGGCUACAAGGAGCUAUGCAUACAAACCUCACAAGGACAUUUCCCAUCUGCUUGCGGAGGAGACGUAACUGCGCCAGUUUCCAGAAGAGAAUCCAGGCGGGGAGGGCCUGAAGCUUGUGCAAGUACAAAUAAAAAUUAGGUGCAAGAGUAAAUAUUUAUUUAGUGUACGAAAAGCCGCCACACACAGAUUUUUAAAAGCUGAUGGACGCCACAAGGAUCGUGAGAGUUAGAAAUGCCCAAAGCAUUUUUAAUUAAAUUACUGUCUCUUACUCCUCUCUAGUAUUUUUCCCUACAUUUUUGUCUGUAUAUGUGGUCAUUUUAUUUCACGUGGCAGGAUAUAAUAUUCCUAUAUUAUUCC